CACGUAGGGCGCAAGCGUUGUCCGGAAUUAUUGGGCGUAAAGAGCUCGUAGGCGGUCUGUUACGUCUGCUGUGAAAACCCGGGGCUUAACCCUGGGCUUGCAGUGGAUACGGGCAGACUAGAGGCAGGUAGGGGAGAAUGGAAUUCCCGGUGUAGCGGUGAAAUGCGCAGAUAUCAGGAGGAACACCAAUGGCGAAGGCAGCUCGCUGGGACGUGACUGACGCUGAGACGCGAAAGCGUGGGGAGCAAACAGG
rnacentral:rRNA from 1 species